GUUCUAGAGCUCAUGGUGAGCCACGAGAGGCCUUGCCACUGAAAAUCACCUGGAUUCAAGUAGGUGCAGGGGUGAUCCUCCAUCAGUACCGGAUAGGUAAUCUCUGCAGGCUUAGGGAUCCUGAUGUCACAGUGAGGCAUACAACAUAUUCACACUGAUCCAGGGCACCAACUAUGUUCUGCCACCGCCUAAUGCAUGGGUAAGUGACUAAGGAGUCCCUUGGCAUUCCUGGCC
rnacentral:lncRNA from 1 species